rnacentral:rRNA from 2 species
UAAAACGACUCUCGGCAACGGAUAUCUCGGCUCUCGCAUCGAUGAAGAACGUAGCGAAAUGCGAUACUUGGUGUGAAUUGCAGAAUCCCGCGAACCAUCGAGUCUUUGAACGCAAGUUGCGCCCGAAGCCAUUAGGUUGAGGGCACGUCUGCCUGGGCGUCUCAC